UCGGGGUGCCCAGGCGCGAAAACUUUGCAAUACACGAAAGUGUGACAGGGCUAUCCCGAGUGCCAUCCGCUGAGGAAGGCUUUUACCCAGUCUAGAACGCUGGGGGAAUAAGGAGAGGGCAAGUCUGGUGUCAGCCGCCGCGGUAAUACCAGCUCUCCGAGUGGUGUGGAUGUUUAUUGGGCCUAAAGCAUCCGUAGCUGGCUAAGUUAGUCCCUUGUUAAAUCCACCGAAUUAAUCGUUGGAUUGCGGGGGAUACUGCUUGGCUAGGGGACGAGAGAGGCAGACGGUAUUUCCGGGGUAGGGGUGAAAUCCUAUAAUCCCGGGAAGACCACCAGUGGCGAAGGCUGUCUGCUAGAACGCGCCCGACGGUGAGGGAUGAAAGCUGGGGGAGCGAACCGGAUUAGAUACCCGGGUAGUCCCAGCUGUAAACGAUGCAGGCUAGGUGUUUGGACGGCCACGUGCCGUUCUAGUGCCGCAGGGAAGCUGUUAAGCCUGCCGCCUGGGGAGUACGAUCGCAAGAUUGAAACUUAAAGGAAUUGGCGGGGGAGCAC
rnacentral:rRNA from 1 species